ensembl:lncRNA
UCUGAAACCAAAAAUGGGGAAAUAUUAUAAAAAGCAUUCUUAGUCAUGCUUCCAUUAACAUGAAUUAUGAGAGAUAUGGAAGUUAUGUGAAGGACUAAGAGAGGUCUUGAAGGUUCCUCUUUGCGAUGAUGAAUUGAUGAUUUGUAUCAGAACAUGUCUUGUUUCAGGCACAUUUUGUGGUUGGAGGAAGGAGAUCUUACUAAUGGGGUGUAUGCGUCAUUUCUCUCACUGAUGGAAAGUAAUUUCUUCAAUGAGCUAAACUUGUUUGGACAUCUCUCAACAUCAUCCCUGUGUGAUAUGAUCUCCACAAACCAGUGUCUCUCAUUGAAACUUCAGUGAAGCCCAAAGCUCUGUCUGGGACUUCUGGACCACAUGUGUGAGAAUGAGUCAUAGAAAACCUUAACAUUUGCCAUUGUUAACAUCAUCACUAUUAAAACCCUCCUGCUCCCCUUCUCUUUUUUUCUGUAUUUUUCUCUUCAGGUGAUUAUUCAACAUCUUUCCUUUCCUGACCUUGUUGUGAGUCCUCAGCUCCACUCUGAACUGGGGUCAAAAAACUUGAAGCCAAUCAUCAAAUAAAUGACGUAAUAUAUUUUCUCCUGACUUACUGAUGAUAAUUUUUAAAAAGCCCUGGAGGAUUGAAGAGUGUACGCUUAGUAACAAUGGUCUGUCCUGAUUUUUUACUUAAACUGUUUAUAAUAAUCUAUAUUCUUUCUUAAUUUGAACAUGCAGCCAUUGUGUCUCAGCAUAAAUUACUGAAAAACAAACUGAACUGAAAAACUAAAAAUUUUAAGGCCAUUAUAAUUUUGACAGUGACCCUGUUCACUUUGUACAGAUUUUACAACUUUGCAUUAUAAUGGAAAUUAUUGCAUUUAGCUUUAUUGCAAAAUAAUAAAAACUAUCAAUAAUCUAAGAGCUUUGGACUAUAAUAUGUGCUUUAUCACAGUUAGAAAUGAUUGAAAUAAACUUUGGCCAAGCAUUUUUAUCUAACACAUUAUUUAUUCAGCCAUUUGUGUGUGUUUUUAUGACAUCAUCUCUAUUAAUUCUAACAACCUAAAGAGGAAUUUAGAGUUUUGCUCUCAAAAAUCUGAUAUGUGCUCCUUAGAGCUUGUAUAUGUUGCAACUUACAUCCUAACAUGCUGCAAUGCAGUUAUUUUCCAGCAAUUCGUUUUUCGGGGAAACGUUGUGCCAUGUGUGAUUCUGAAAGAAAAUGUUAAGUAAACAAAGCGAUUUGCUUGCUCAUUUGUUACUGUGUGUUAAGAAAUCUCAGCCUACAUGAAAUAUAAUUCAUUUGUCCGUGUG